CAGCGGGAUGAAUAAAUAGAUAUUUGGGGAUUAUGCUCGAUCAACUCGCAGUUUCAAAGCAGUGCUCCUGUUUUUUCAAUUUCAUGACCUGGCAAUUUCAUUCUGUCAUAAUAGGGUAUCAUGCCCUUCGUGUAUCUUAUUAUUAUAGUUGAUUGUGUCGUGCUGCGUGAAAUUGUACUGUUUGUUUGUGAACUAUUACAAAGAUGUUUCUGUCGCAAGAGAACCUGGCUGAAGAAAUCCGGCAACAAGCCGCUUCUAUAGGUGCCUAAUGCGAUAAAAAUUCCGCUAAGUGAAAGUUCUGGACGCGGAGUUUGUAAAUACCACGCUGCAUAUUUCCACAUCCACGACGAAAUAGCUGUAGGACCCUGUUCAAUAAGGCAGAUUAUCAAGAUGAAGUGGGCCGGGACCAAAUGGAUGCCUGUUUCUCAGCAAGCGGUGUCCAACUGCUAAAUUACCCCGGUCUUAUCAGUAUGGGCUAUCAUUAAAGCCGGGGGUUUUCGAUGCACACAUGUGACCCUUCAUGGGCCAUAGGAAUAUGAAGACCGCUUCUUGUAUAUCUUUUCCAUCACGGAACAAUGGUGUUCCGGACCUUUGGGAGGCGUGCGCGGAGCCGUAGGCAACACGUGAGUCCCUUUUGACACUUAAUGAAAUGUAAGGGGUAAACCGAGCGGAUGCUGCCCUUGCCCGCGUCAUGGAACACACGCAGAGGCAGCAUCCGCCAGGGUGUAAGGACUAUUGAGAGUU